GUCUACGUGCCUUAGUCGUGAGAACACUCGACUAUGGUGCGAUAGGAUUCGGGUUCGAGCCCCGGUGGAGACA